rnacentral:rRNA from 1 species
UACGUAGGGGGCUAGCGUUGUCCGGAAUCAUUGGGCGUAAAGCGCGCGUAGGCGGCCAGAUAAGUCCGGUGUGAAAGUCACAGGCUCAACCUGUGAAUGCCGCUGGAAACUGUCUGGCUAGAGUCCGGAAGGGGCGAGUGGAAUUCCUGGUGUAGCGGUGAAAUGCGCAGAUAUCAGGAGGAACACCGGCGGUGUAGACGGCUGUCUGGACAGUAACUGACGCUGAAACACGAAAGCGUGGGGAGCAAACAGG